AGAACGAACGCUGGCGGCAGGCCUAACACAUGCAAGUCGAACGCGACUUCGGUCGAGUGGCGCACGGGUGAGUAACGCGUGGGAACCUGUCCUGUGGUACGGAAUAACAUCGGGAAACUGGUGCUAAUACCGUAUAUCCCCUGAGGGGGAAAGAUUUAUCGCCAUAGGAGGGGCCCGCGUAGGAUUAGCUAGUUGGUGAGGUAACGGCUCACCAAGGCGACGAUCCUUAGCUGGUCUGAGAGGAUGAUCAGCCACACUGGGACUGAGACACGGCCCAGACUCCUACGGGAGGCAGCAGUGGGGAAUAUUGGACAAUGGGCGAAAGCCUGAUCCAGCCAUGCCGCGUGAGUGAUGAAGGCCUUCGGGUUGUAAAGCUCUUUCGCACGUGACGAUGAUGACGGUAACGUGAGAAGAGCCCGGCUAACUCGCGCCAGCAGCCGC
rnacentral:rRNA from 1 species